AACGAUCCCUUUUUUUUUUGAAACGUAAGUGCACGUGCACGAAAACAACAUAGAUCAAACGAGGGUCAACAGAUCAAAUUACAAAAAUGUGAUCGUCUUUUGAACUAUGGUCUCGCUGCUCUCCAGUCUCCACGCCUCCAUGCUGUUUGGCAGUGCAGAUUUGAGGCCCAAGCAAGCCAACCAGAAGCCAACAUAACAAAACUAUAUGCAAGUUUUGCUCGUGCUGGGAUAGAAGUGUCAUCAGCAACAAUCUCAGCAUCAUCACUUGGAUAAACAGCAUCACUCUUGAUUGGAGAAACUACCGAUGUCGGCCGAGUUAACUGAGCUCUUCUUCCCUUUUCUUGAAAUGUCCUCGUGUCUGCAGUCUGCCCAUGUGAAUGUGGGUGUAUUCACGAGGACCUCGGACCCAUUCCCUAUCUCGCCUGGUGGAUUCGACUUAUUUUCUGCGAAUGGAGCACUUGUGGAUGCCUGCCUGGCCGUAUUUCCCAGGCUUAAAGGUAGGACAAAUGUUUCUUUAUUCUUCCCUUGAUGACUAUCUGCUGGUGAUGUUGAUUAUAAAUCGUGUCACAGUACGGUGUACGAUUUAUUCCUGAGCUAGGCGUUUGACUGUGCAACUGUUUUCUCUUGUCGUUUUUGUUGACUGAGUCAGGGUUCAUUGAAUAACUCAUUUGCAGAAAGACUUGAGGUCAGGCUUGUUUUGUACCUUACCACUUUGUCUGUGGUAUUAAAUUUUUGAAAUUACUGAAAAAUAUUGAACUUGAAACACUUCAAGCAAAGUGAAACUAGAAAAUGUUAUGAUCGAGAGGGACCUGCCACCACACCUCCUCGUUAGAGGAAUAAUAACGACCCGGCUGCUGCUGCUGCUACUGCUGUGUAAGCGCAAAUGUACGCACUUUGUUAUAGACUCAUACACCUCCAUCGUUAUUCAGAGCCGAGCGACCAGUCAUUUCUUGCGCCGGGUGCAGCCCAAAAAUAUAACGGAAUAAUAGGCCUAUUACU